ACUCAUGUGGCGUAGUGGUAACGCGCCCCAACUAGAGAUCGGGGAGUCGUGAGUUCGAUUCUCACUGAGAA
rnacentral:tRNA from 1 species